GACGAACGCUGGCGGCGUGCCUAAUACAUGCAAGUCGAACGAGAGCGACCGGUGCUUGCACUGGUCAAUCUAGUGGCGAACGGGUGAGUAACACGUGGGUAACCUGCCCAUCAGAGGGGGAUAACAUCCGGAAACGGAUGCUAAAACCGCAUAGGUCUUCGAACCGCAUGGUUUGAAGAGGAAAAGAGGCGCAAGCUUCUGCUGAUGGAUGGACCCGCGGUGCAUUAGCUAGUUGGUGAGGUAACGGCUCACCAAGGCCGUGAUGCAUAGCCGACCUGAGAGGGUGAUCGGCCACAUUGGGACUGAGACACGGCCCAAACUCCUACGGGAGGCAGCAGUAGGGAAUCUUCCGCAAUGGACGCAAGUCUGACGGAGCAACGCCGCGUGAGUGAAGAAGGUGUUCGGAUCGUAAAACUCUGUUGUUAGAGAAGAACAAGUGCUAGAGUAACUGUUAGCGACUUGACGGUAUCUAACCAGAAAGCCACGGCUAACUACGUG
rnacentral:rRNA from 1 species